rnacentral:rRNA from 1 species
GACGAACGCUGGCGGCGUGCUUAACACAUGCAAGUCGAACGGAAAGGCCCCUUUGGGGGUACUCGAGUGGCGAACGGGUGAGUAACACGUGAGUAACCUGCCCUUGACUUCGGGAUAACUUCAGGAAACUGGGGCUAAUACCGGAUAGGAAUCCUUGCUGCAUGGUGGGGGUUGGAAAGCUUCGGCGGUUUUGGAUGGACUCGCGGCUUAUCAGCUUGUUGGUGGGGUAGUGGCUUACCAAGGCUUUGACGGGUAGCCGGCCUGAGAGGGCGACCGGCCACAUUGGGACUGAGAUACGGCCCAGACUCCUACGGGAGGCAGCAGUGGGGAAUAUUGCACAAUGGGCGGAAGCCUGAUGCAGCAACGCCGCGUGCGGGAUGACGGCCUUCGGGUUGUAAACCGCUUUCAGCAGGGGCGAAGCUUGUGGUGACGGUACCUGCAGAAGAAGCACCAGCUAACUACGU